rnacentral:lncRNA from 1 species
UCUAGUUUAGUCAAAUAAUAACUAAUUAUUUUAAACUCUAAAAUUAGUUUUUAUUUAGUGAUUUUCUUGUAGUGUUUUUUUUACCUAUCUUUUAUCCCUUAUAAAAAAAAAAAAUCUUCAAUCAAAUCCCUUUAAUUUUCAUUUUAUUUUUCAUCCAAUUUUGAUGUAGCACAAUUUUGUCUUGCAUCUGAAAUAAAGCUAAGUGAUCCACACACAAAAUGUAUGUGUAUAUAUAUGGAAUAAUGUGUAGGUGAAAGAAAGCAAGAAGAAAGGGGAAGAAAUAAGAUAGGAGGAGGAGAAGGGUUGUUGUGUGUAUCUUAGGAGCACCUCCAGUGGUUGGAAAAUGAAGAACCAUAUCCUCCUAGCCAAUGCUUUUAACAAAGUAACUCUGCAAAAUCCCAUAAAACACAACCCUUUUCAUUCGUACCAUUUUUCUAAAUAUAUAAACAUAUCUUUGUUUACAACACACUCUCCUUCCACCUUUUCCUGCUCUCCAACAUCAACCGUUUAAUCUUCCACUUCUUACCAUUCUUGUCUCCAAUUUUUUAUUUCGUACCUCAAUUUCCUCACCAUGCCUUUCACCUUUUCUCUUCUUGCACAUGCUUGGCUCCUAAAGUUUAUGGACAAGUACAAAACAAAUACUUUUUAACCCCAUAAUUUCACAUCCACCACUUCUUCAUUUCAAUGUGAAACGCUCUUAUUCUAAUCUUCUCAUUAAUAUUCCACACUAGUUUUUUUUUUCUUUUUCAUAUCCCAUCAUUUUUAUUAUAUACAAAACUUUGCCAAUCAUAAUAAUUAUGAGCUCAUAUCUUAUUACAUUAAAAAAUCAUUAAUUAUAACUUAAAUUUAAAGACAGAAAUAUAUAAUUAAUUACUAUGUUCAUUAAAUUAUAUAUUAUUGUAAAGAUU